rnacentral:rRNA from 1 species
UACGUAGGUGACCAGCGUUGUCCGGAUUUACUGGGCGUAAAGAGCGCGCAGGCGGUCGUUCAAGUCGAGUGUGAAAGCCCCCCGGCUCAACUGGGGAGGGUCACUCGAUACUGAUCGACUUGAAGGCAGGAGAGGGAAGCGGAAUUCCCGGUGUAGUGGUGAAAUGCGUUAGAUAUGUGGAGGAACACCGAUGGCGAAGGCAGCCCCCUGGGUU